UGUUAGAUUGAUCUCCAAGCCUACUUUAC
rnacentral:piRNA from 1 species